CAAAGCCCUCGCCAGAGAAGCCACUCACACUCUCGGCAACAGUAACUCAGAAAAUGGCUUGGCGCUCAGCUGGUUCGUUGUCUCGGUCAUUGGUGUCUACCGCUAGGGUUUCGUCGCUCCGUUCGGCGCCACCUCUCCGUCGUCUCCGUCCACCGACUGUCUCCACUCCUCGUCGCCUCGCAUUCGCUUCUCCCAGGAACUUGGGAGAACUGGGCUGCAUACAAUCGCUUUUGCCAAUGCACAGUGUGACGGCUGCAACUUGCCUCACAUCUCAUCUGGCUGUCAAUGCGCGUGGUUGUUGCGAGUUGUCACAUGGUACCUUCUGCCGUACUUGUCAGGAUCGCUAGUAGUCUCUUUGUGAGUCUUGCUGAUUCUAGGACACAUGACAAAAUUGAAAGAAAUGUUUAUUGCCGUUUUGUUCUCAAUCCUUCGGCUGAUGGCCCGGGAGAGCGUAAAAGUAGAAUAAGUAGUGUUGGCUCAUUUAAAUCUAGACAGUGUUUGAUUGAUAGAAUGAUUUUUAAACUAGGUAGGAUUUGUAAGUAUAUUAAGAUUGGUUGUUAAGAAGAAAUUGGGAUUGGGAUUGAUAGGGAGGAACAGAAAAGACGGGUGAUGCGCACAGACUUCCAAUCAUCCAAAGGCAGGAGAAUGAUGCAUCGUUGGACUUGAAAAGACAUUUGGAUCAGCAUAGUUGAGUGCAACUAUAUAUUGGGGUUGAUCGUAGAGUUUGGCUGUAUCCUGUAGGAAUGAGUGCUUUUGGAUUAGGAUCCUUUUAUAUUUUGUUCUUAAUAAGAAACUUGAUAGUUCAUCUGAUAAGGAUAGGUUUAUGGGUGUUUGAACUUCAGUGCUUAUUCUUGAAUCUUGGUCAAUUUCUCUGUCUUGUGAGUUGUGAUUAAUUGUUUCACGGGUCUCUGUUGAUUAUAACAUUAUAUUAGUUUUUUCUCUUUUGAAUAAUAAUGUCAGUUGUUCUAAA